UACGUAGGGGGCUAGCGUUGUCCGGAAUCAUUGGGCGUAAAGCGCGUGUAGGCGGCCCGGUAAGUCCGCUGUGAAAGUCCAGGGCUCAACCCUGGGAUGCCGGUGGAUACUGUCGGGCUCGAGUCCGGAAGAGGCGAGUGGAAUUCCUGGUGUAGCGGUGAAAUGCGCAGAUAUCAGGAAGAACACCAACGGCGAAGGCAGCUCGCUGGGACGGUACUGACGCUGAGACGCGAAAGCGUGGGGAGCGAACAGG
rnacentral:rRNA from 1 species